CUGCUUUCCAGAGGCUGCAGGGCCAGGGAGGGAGGGCUGCAAUGACUUGGCUUCCAGGCAGCUGGCGUGAGCUUCCGCAGGCUCCCUUCCUCAAAGAGCCUCCUCUUUACUGAAAGUUCAGGCUGCUGUGGUUUCCCCACAUUCACUCAGGGGAAAGAUCAAACCCUCACGAAAAUGUUUACCAGGAACUGUCUGUCAGUCAGUCAACAAGCGUUUACUGACAGCUGCAGCUCAUACCCUGGGCUGGCGCCGCGGAGGCGUGGGGGACGAAUCAGCCACAGACCUGUCCUGCAGAAGGGAGCUGGAGAGAGCCAGGCAGAGGGAGAGAGGCCGGGCGGGGAGGGCUGCCGGCGCAGAGGGCCUGGCGGUGGGAGGGCAUGCCCUGCUCAGGCUGAAACCGUCAUGCCCGUGGCCCCCCAAAUCACAGCUGGCGGUGUGCUGGCACUGAGCUCCCAGAGGCGUCUCAGACCUGGAC
rnacentral:lncRNA from 1 species